UACGUAGGGUGCGAGCGUUAAUCGGAAUUACUGGGCGUAAAGCGUGCGCAGGCGGUUUUGUAAGCCAGAUGUGAAAUCCCCGGGCUUAACCUGGGAAUGGCAUUUGGGACUGCAAGGCUGGAGUGCGGCAGAGGAGACUGGAAUUCCUGGUGUAGUAGUGAAAUGCGUAGAUAUCAGGAGGAACACCGAUGGCGAAGGCAGGUCUCUGGGCUGACACUGACGCUCAUGCACGAAAGCGUGGGGAGCAAACAGG
rnacentral:rRNA from 1 species